UACGUAGGUGGCAAGCGUUGUCCGGAAUUAUUGGGCGUAAAGCGCGCGCAGGCGGUCCUUUAAGUCUGAUGUGAAAUCCCACGGCUCAACCGUGGAAGGUCAUUGGAAACUGGGGGACUUGAGUACAGAAGAGGAAAGCGGAAUUCCAAGUGUAGCGGUGAAAUGCGUAGAGAUUUGGAGGAACACCAGUGGCGAAGGCGGCUUUCUGGUCUGUAACUGACGCUGAGGCGCGAAAGCGUGGGGAGCAAACGGG
rnacentral:rRNA from 1 species